GACGAACGCUGGCGGCGUGCUUAACACAUGCAAGUCGAACGGAAAGGCCCUGCUUUUGUGGGGUGCUCGAGUGGCGAACGGGUGAGUAACACGUGAGUAACCUGCCCUUGACUUUGGGAUAACUUCAGGAAACUGGGGCUAAUACCGGAUAGGAGCUCCUGCUGCAUGGUGGGGGUUGGAAAGUUUCGGCGGUUGGGGAUGGACUCGCGGCUUAUCAGCUUGUUGGUGGGGUAGUGGCUUACCAAGGCUUUGACGGGUAGCCGGCCUGAGAGGGUGACCGGCCACAUUGGGACUGAGAGACGCCCCAGACUCGUACGGGAGGCAGCAGUGGGGAAUAUUGCACAAUGGGCGGAAGCCUGAUGCAGCAACGCCGCGUGCGGGAUGACGGCCUUCGGGUUGUAAACCGCUUUCGCCUGUGACGAAGCGUGAGUGACGGUAAUGGGUAAAGAAGCACCGGCUAACUACGUG
rnacentral:rRNA from 1 species